UACGUAGGGCGCAAGCGUUGUCCGGAUUUAUUGGGCGUAAAGAGCUCGUAGGCGGUUUGUCGCGUCUGCUGUGAAAACCUAAGGCUCAACCUUGGGCUUGCAGUGGGUACGGGCAGACUAGAGUGCGGUAGGGGUGACUGGAAUUCCUGGUGUAGCGGUGGAAUGCGCAGAUAUCAGGAGGAACACCGAUGGCGAAGGCAGGUCACUGGGCCGCAACUGACGCUGAGGAGCGAAAGCAUGGGGAGCGAACAGG
rnacentral:rRNA from 1 species